GAUUGUGGCUCAGUGGUAGAGUGCUUUCCUAACAUGUGUGAGGUACUGGGUUUGAACCUCAGCACAACA
rnacentral:tRNA from 1 species